rnacentral:rRNA from 1 species
CGAGCGGUAGCACAGGAGGCUUGGUCCUGUUGGAGGAGAGUGGCGCAGGGGAGUGUUGUCUGGGAAACUGCGUGAUGGAGGGGGAUAACUAUACUCGACGGAGUGGAAUACCGCAUAUAGUCUACGGACCAAAAAGGGGGACAUUCGGGCCUCAUGAAUCAGAUGUGCCCCGAUGGGAUAAGCUAGUAGGUGGGGUAAUGGCUCACCUAGGCGACGAUCCCUAGCUGGUCUGAGAGGAUGACCAGCCACACUGGAACUGAGACACGGUCCAGACUCCUACGGGAGGCAGCAGUGGGGAAUAUUGCACAAUGGGCGCAAGCCUGAUGCAGCCAUGCCGCGUGUGUGAAGAAAGCCUUCGGGUUGUAAAGCACUUUUUGCGAGGAGGAAAGGGUUAGUGUUAAUAGCACUGUGCUUUGACGUUACUCGCGCAAAAAAACACCGGCUAACUCCGUGCCACCAGCCGCGGUAAUACACGAGGGUGCGCGCGCGUUUCUCGAAAUUCUGGGCGUAUAGCGCACGCGGGCGGUGUGUGAAGACAGAUAUGUGAUCUCCCGCGCGCUCAGUGUGGAACUCUGUUUUUAACUGUGCAAGCUAUAGUCUAUGUAGAGAGGGGGAGAGAACUACGUGUGUCGCUGAGAUGCGUAUAGAUCUGUGAGAGAAUACCCGAGGCGAAAACGGCCCCCUGUGGAAAAACUGACACUCUCGUGCGAAAGCGUGUGGGAGAGCACAGGAUUAUAUACACCCGGGAGUCCACACUCUAUAAAAAUGUGUCACUUUGGGUGUUUGUGCCCUUUUAGGCGUGGGUUCCCGCAGCUAACGCGUGAAGUCUGACCGCCUGGGGAGUACGGUCGCAAGAUUAAAAACUCAAAUGAAUUGACGGGGACCCGCACAAAGCGGUGGAUCAUGUGGAUUAAUUUCGAUGCAACGCGAGAACUUAACCUACUCUUGACAUCUCAAGAAUUCCGUAAAGAAUUGGUUAUUGCUCUCAGGAAAUCUGAAACAAGCCGCUAUAGCCGUCGUCUACACUCUUGGUGCGAAUGUGCGGUAAGUCCGACCAAGGCAACCUUAGCAUUGUGCCAAACGAAUGACUGAUC